GACGUAGGAGGCGAGCGUUGUCCGGAUUCAUUGGGCGUAAAGAGCACGCAGGCGGUUUGGCAAGUCGGAUGUGAAAACCCGAAGCUCAACCUCGGGCCUGCAUCCGAAACUGCCCGACUAGAGGUAGGUAGGGGAGAUCGGAAUUCCUGGUGUAGCGGUGAAAUGCGCAGAUAUCAGGAGGAACACCGGUGGCGAAGGCGGAUCUCUGGGCCUUACCUGACGCUCAGGUGCGAAAGCGUGGGGAGCAAACAGG
rnacentral:rRNA from 1 species